rnacentral:lncRNA from 1 species
AGGAGCAUACAAGUUUCUUGAAUAUAGCUAAAUCUGUGCAUAGGAGAAAAUUUAGAACUUUCAGGGGCUAUAUUAGAACAGAGUGGUGGCUGAAGCUGUAGCUUUUUGGUAGAGUGUCCAGUAUCCCCCUCUACUCUAGAGAGCAAAUGUGUUAAAUUACUCAAGCAUCCACUUUAAGACGUUUUAAAAAGGAAAUAUAAUUCCCACAGUAAGCAGAAUAGAGAAAAUUAUAGCUAACAGUAAUCAAUUAGACAAAAAGCAGAAAAAUAGGAAAAACCCAAUGAAACCCAAAACUACACAUUCCCGGCCAAUCUGGACAACAGAAUGGAAUCACCAAUCAAUGAGGGAAGCAAGGCAGGUAAAGGGGUCAGGGGUGUGGUUCAGCUGACUGAAUGCUUGCCUCUCUCACUCAGCAUCUUAUAAGCUUGCAGAGGGCACAGUGGGGGCAGCAGGAGAAUCUCAAGUUCAAGGUCGUCUUUGACUACCAUAGUAAGUUCAAGACCAGCCUGGCCUAUAUGAGACUGAGGGGGUGGGGGUGGGGGGCAGAGAAGUGAGAAAGGGAGGGAGAUGGUGAAGAAAGAGAAUGAGGAAUAUAAUGAAUAACUUCACACCGAUAAACAACUCUAAUACUUACAUAGAAAAUGUUUCUUUAAAGACAUAAUUUAUCUAUAGCCACAAUAAGAAAGCAGGUUACUUGGGUUUAUUUGUUGUUGUGUAUUCUUUGCAGUAAUGAGAAGUGACCUCAGGGUCUGAUGCAAGCUAGGCAAGUGCUUGACCACUGAGAGACAGACAGACAGACAGACAGACAGAUCAACAGAGAUAGAUAGAUAGAUAGGUAGAUAGAUAGAUAGAUAGAUAGAUCAACAGAGAUAGGUAGGUAGGUAGGUAGAUAGAUAGAUAGAUAGAUAGAUAGAUAGAUCAACAGAGAUAGAUAGAUAGGUAGAUACAUCAACAGAGACAGAGAUAGAUAGAUAGAUAGAUAGAUAGAUAGAUAGAUAGAUAGAUAGAUAGAUCAACAGAGACAGAGAUAGAUAGAUAGAUAGAUAGAUAGAUAGAUAGAUAGAUAGAUAGAUAGAUAGAUAGAUACAUCAACAGAGACAGAGAUAGAUAGAUAGAUAGAUAGAUAGAUAGAUAGAUAGAUAGAUAGAUAGAUAGAUAGAUAGACAGACAGACAUCCCCAGCUCCUGUUUUUAACUUUUUAUUUUGACUAAGAGUCUUACUAAGUUACUCAAGCUGGUAUAGAACUUGCUCUGUUAUCCAGACGGGUCAUUAAUUCCAUGAUCCUCCCUGCUACUAUUCCCAGAGUCUUAUGCUAUCAACAUAAUAAAAUUUAUAGUUAAAACUCCUCCCACGUGCCAGGUGUGGUGGGAUACAGCUUUACAUAAAUAAUCUCAAUGUUUAGGAACUUGAGGCAAAAGGAUCUUGGGCCUGAAGCCAUUCUGGGCUACACAGUGAGACUAUGUUGCCAAAGGGGGCAAGAAUCUGACAAGCUGAC